UAGACUGUUGUUGUCCAUUGGUAGCAUCUGAAUCACUGAUGAUGAAUAGUAUGUGUCUGGAACACUGAGGUCCAG
ensembl:snoRNA